rnacentral:lncRNA from 1 species
AAUGAGAUACAAUACGCUCAUGCGUAAACAAUGCUCACAUAGUAUUAUUACAUAACAAUAGAGUAGAAUUUCUUAAUGAACUUGUGCCUUUUCGAACUAGCAUCAUUCAUAAAACUGAAACUCCGUGUAGGCUAACGGAGUUAUUUAAGGAUUAGUGGUUGAAUGAGGAUCUGGAAUGCUAGGAAAAGAUGGUUUUGGCAGCUCUGGGAUAUCUGGAAACUCUGGCUUUGGGAAGCCUGGAAUCUCUGGCUUUGGCAAAGUUGGGAGUUCGGGCAAUGGUGGGAACUCAGGCUUAGGAAUCUCUGGCUGCGGGCUGCCUCGAGAAGAUGGUGUGAGACUGCUACUUUUUUGUAGUCAUCCAUUGAUGAAAGAGCGAUAACUGCCAUCAUUAAGAAAACUGUCAGACGAGCCAUUAUGUGAAAAGAUUACAAGAAGAUGUUAGCAGUAAAAUUUAAGCUUGAUUGAUAGUGUCAGUCUUUAAUAUUAUGAGUAUUUAUAAUGAAGUGAGGUUAGAAACAGCAAGGAUUACAAGGUUUGGUUGGUAGGAAGGGUUUUGAGUAGUUCAACUUCUCAUCCAUUUCUUUUCUGAGAUAUGAAAUUUUCGUAAAGUUCGUAGUCAAUGAUGUUCAUAUACCUGAUAGGUCACUUGGCAGUCACAAGUUUAUUACAUUCGUACUGGUUUAUGCUACGUCAAUCUUUUAGUCAUGACUCGUGUGAUGAGUAGAUACCUCACUACACGAAUGGUGAGCCCUUCUUUCUUUUCUUUUGAAGUAGGUCUAGCUCCUCCUAAAUCUAUUUUUCUUUUGCUACUAAUAAGUGGGCUGGCUAAUUUGGUCAAUUUAUCCAAAAGAAAAUUGUUUGAG